rnacentral:rRNA from 1 species
CCUACGGGUGGCAGCAGUGAGGAAUAUUGGUCAAUGGACGAAAGUCUGAACCAGCCAAGUAGCGUGAAGGAUGACUGACCUCUGGGUUGUAAACUUCUUUUAUAUGGGAGUAAAAUGUUCCACGUGUGGGAUUUUGUAUGUACCAUAUGAUUCAGGAUCGGCUAGCUCCGUCCCAGCAGCCGCGGUAAUACGGAGUAUCCGAGCGUUAUCCGGAUUUAUUGGGUUUAACGGGAGCGUAGGUGGAUUGUUAAGUUAGUUGUGAAAGUUUGCGGCUUAACCGUAAAAUUGCAUUUGAAACUGGCAGUCUUGAGUACAGUAGAGGUGGGCGGAAUUCGUGGUGUAGCGGUGAAAUGCGUAGAUAUCACGAAGAACUCCGAUGGCGAAGGCAGUUCACUGGACUGCAACUGACACUGAGGCUCGAAAGUGUGGGUAGCAAACAGGAUUAGAUACCCCUGUAGUC